UACGUAGGGUCCGAGCGUUGUCCGGAAUUACUGGGCGUAAAGAGCUCGUAGGUGGUUUGUCGCGUUGUUCGUGAAAACUCACAGCUUAACUGUGGGCGUGCGGGCGAUACGGGCAGACUUGAGUACUGCAGGGGAGACUGGAAUUCCUGGUGUAGCGGUGGAAUGCGCAGAUAUCAGGAGGAACACCGGUGGCGAAGGCGGGUCUCUGGGGCAGUAACUGACGCUGAGGAGCGAAAGCCGUGGGGAGCGAACAGG
rnacentral:rRNA from 1 species